CACUUACAGAUGGACCCGCGGCGCAUUAGCUAGUUGGUGAGGUAACGGCUCACCAAGGCGACGAUGCGUAGCCGACCUGAGAGGGUGAUCGGCCACACUGGGACUGAGACACGGCCCAGACUCCUACGGGAGGCAGCAGUAGGGAAUCUUCCGCAAUGGACGAAAGUCUGACGGAGCAACGCCGCGUGAGUGAUGAAGGUUUUCGGAUCGUAAAGCUCUGUUGUUAGGGAAGAACAAGUGCAAGAGUAACUGCUUGCACCUUGACGGUACCUAACCAGAAAGCCACGGCUAACUACGUGCCAGCAGCCGCGGUAAUACGUAGGUGGCAAGCGUUGUCCGGAAUUAUUGGGCGUAAAGGGCUCGCAGGCGGUUUCUUAAGUCUGAUGUGAAAGCCCCCGGCUCAAGCGGGGAGGGUCAUUGGAAACUGGGAAACUUGCCCUGCAGAAGAGGAGAGUGGAAUUCCACGUGUAGCGGUGAAAUGCGUAGAGAUGUGGAGGAACACCAGUGGCGAAGGCCACUCUCUGGUCUGUAACUGACGCUGAGGAGCGAAAGCGUGGGGAGCGAACAGGAUUAGAUACCCUGGUAGUCCACGCCGUAAACGAUGAGUGCUAAGUGUUAGGGGGUUUCCGCCCCUUAGUGCUGCAGCUAACGCAUUAAGCACUCCGCCUGGGAAGUAUGGUCGCAAGACUGAAACUCAAAGGAAUUGACGGGGGCCCGCACAAGCGGUGGAGCAUGUGGUUUAAUUCGAAGCAACGCGAAGAACCUUACCAGGUCUUGACAUCCUCUGACAACCCUAGAGAUAGGGCUUUCCCUUCGGGGACAGAGUGACAGGUGGUGCAUGGUUGUCGUCAGCUCGUGUCGUGAGAUGUUGGGUUAAGUCCCGCAACGAGCGCAACCCUUGAUCUUAGUUGCCAGCAUUCAGUUGGGCACUCUAAGGUGACUGCCGGUGACAAACCGGAGGAAGGUGGGGAUGACGUCAAAUCAUCAUGCCCCUUAUGACCUGGGCUACACACGUGCUACAAUGGACAGAACAAAGGGCUGCGAGACCGCAAGGUUUAGCCAAUCCCACAAAUCUGUUCUCAGUUCGGAUCGCAGUCUGCAACUCGACUGCGUGAAGCUGGAAAUCGCUAGUAAUCGCGGAUCAGCAUGCCGCGGUGAAAUACG
rnacentral:rRNA from 1 species